rnacentral:tRNA from 1 species
GCCCUGGUGGUGAAAUUGGUAGACACACCGGACUUAAAAUCCGUUGGCCGCAAGGCCGUGCCGGUUCGAUUCCGGCCCGGGGCACCA